rnacentral:rRNA from 1 species
UACGGAGGGUGCAAGCGUUAUCCGGAUUCACUGGGCUUAAAGGGUGCGUAGGCGGGUUGGUAAGUCAGUGGUGAAAUCCCCGAGCUUAACUUGGGAACUGCCAUUGAUACUAUCAGUCUUGAAUACCGUGGAGGUCAGUGGAAUAUGUCAUGUAGCGGUGAAAUGCUUAGAUAUGACAUAGAACACCAAUUGCGAAGGCAGCUGGCUACACGAAUAUUGACACUGAGGCACGAAAGCGUGGGGAUCAAACAGG